UCAAAUGAAUUGACGGGGGCCCGCACAAGCGGUGGAGCAUGUGGUUUAAUUCGAUGCAACGCGAAGAACCUUACCUGGUCUUGACAUCCACAGAACUUUCCAGAGAUGGACUGGUGCCUUCGGGAACUGUGAGACAGGUGCUGCAUGGCUGUCGUCAGCUCGUGUUGUGAAAUGUUGGGUUAAGUCCCGCAACGAGCGCAACCCUUAUCCUUUGUUGCCAGCGAUUAGGUCGGGAACUCAAAGGAGACUGCCAGU
rnacentral:rRNA from 1 species